rnacentral:rRNA from 1 species
UGAGGAAUAUUGGUCAAUGGGAGAGAUCCUGAACCAGCCAAGCCGCGUGAGGGAAGACGGCCCUAUGGGUUGUAAACCUCUUUUGUCGGAGAACAAAACCCGGGACGUGUCCCGGACUGCGUGUAUCCGAAGAAAAAGCAUCGGCUAACUCCGUGCC